UACGGAGGUGGCGAGCGUUGUCCGAAGUUACUGGGCGUAAAGCGCGCGUAGGCGGGCUCUUAAGUGAGAAGUGAAAGGCUGGGGCUCAACUCCAUGCAGUGCUUCUCAUACUGGGGGUCUGAGGGCGGUAGAGAGAAGUGGAAUGGCUGGUGUAGCGGUGGAAUGCGUAGAGAUCCGGAAGAACACCGGUGGCGAAGGCGGCCGCUGGGCAGGUAGCUGA
rnacentral:rRNA from 1 species